rnacentral:tRNA from 1 species
GGUGGUGUAGCUCAGUAGGAUAGAGCAGCAGCCUUCUAAGCUGUCGGUCGGUGGUUCGAAUCCACUCACCAUCGCCA